rnacentral:rRNA from 1 species
GGGUCAGUAGGUUGGUCGUGCCACCGGUACGUACUGGUCUCACUGAUUCCUCCUUCCUGAAGAACCGUAAUGCCAUUAAUUUGGUGUUGCGGGGAAACAGUAAUGUUACUUUGAAAAAAUUAGAGUGUUUAAAGCAAGCUAACGCUUGAAUACAUUAGCAUGGAAUAAUGAAAUAGGACGAUCGAUCCUAUUUUGUUGGUUUCUAGGAUUGACGUA